rnacentral:tRNA from 1 species
GCGGGCGUAGUUCAAUGGUAGAACGUCUGCCUUCCAAGCAGAGAACGAGGGUUCAAUUCCCUUCGCCCGCU